UGCGGAAGGAUCAUUAUUGAAUAAACCUGAUGGGUUGCUGCUGGCUCUCUAGAGAGCAUGUGCACGCUUGUCAUCUUUAUAUAUCUCCACCUGUGCACCUUUUGUAGACCUGGAUAUUUUUCUGAAUGCUCCUGGCAUUCAGGUUUGAGGACUGACUUUGCUGUCUUUUCCUUACAUUUCCUGGUCUAUGUUUCUUCAUAUACUACCAGUCAUAGAAUGUAACAAAUGGGUGUUUGUGCCUAUAAAACCUAUACAACUUUCAGCAACGGAUCUCUUGGCUCUCGCAUCGAUGAAGAACGCAGCGAAAUGCGAUAAGUAAUGUGAAUUGCAGAAUUCAGUGAAUCAUCGAAUCUUUGAACGCACCUUGCGCUCCUUGGUAUUCCGAGGAGCAUGCCUGUUUGAGUGUCAUUAAUAUAUAUCAACCUUGUGUUGGAUGUGGGGGUUUUGUUGGCCUUUGAGAGGUCAGCUCCCCUGAAAUGCAUUAGCGGAACUAACUUACCGUUCAUUGGUGUGAUAAAACUAUCUACGUGAAAGGGCAGGGUUCAGCUUCUAACAAAAGUCUUCAUUUAAUGUGACCUCAAAUCAGGUAGGGCUACCCGCUGAACUUAAGCAUAUCAAUAAGCGGAGGAAAAGAAACUAACAAGGAUUCCCCUAGUAACUGCGAGUGAAGCGGGAAAAGCUCAAAUUUAAAAUCUGGCAGUCUUUGGCUGUCCGAGUUGUAAUCUAGAGAAGCGUUAUCCGCGCUGGACCGUGUACAAGUCUCCUGGAAUGGAGCGUCAUAGAGGGUGAGAAUCCCGUCUUUGACACGGACUGCCAGGGCUUUUGUGAUGCGCUCUCAAGAGUCGAGUUGU
rnacentral:rRNA from 1 species